UGGUGGCUCUAGCGAGCGAGAAACACCCGAUCCCAUCCCGAACUCGGCCGUGAAACCGUUCAGCGCCGAUGGUACUUCGUCUCAAGACGCGGGAGAGUAGGUCGCUGCCA
rnacentral:rRNA from 1 species